UUGGGCUAUUUAAAGAUGAUUAUGAGGAACAUAAAGUGAAGCCUACUUCAAAACCCAGUUUUAACCUUUGGUCUAUUUAUUUUGAUUGCCAGAAGUAAAAACCACUCCGUUUCAUCAUUCCUUACCUGUCAACGUUGUUUAAAACUGGUUGUUUUAGUUCGGAGUCUGUAUGUUUUGGUGAGGUUGUUUAAUUCAUUGCUAAGCUAUUUUAGCUAUUGCAAAUGAGGCCAAGAAUACUCUGUGCUGUUUGGUGAGGUUGCAGAGAUGUGCAACUGAGCAUGAAUUUGUAAAGCAGGAGAGAACCAAAUCAUCCGUUAGAGAUUACAGAGAGCUAAGUGGAUAUUGAAGAGGAGUGAAAGUUUUGAGGACGACUUGGUGUGGUGUGGUGUGAGAUGCAUAAACUGAAGGCAGAGAGAAAGAGUUGUUUUGGUCUCAGAUAACCUGGUACACAGUGCUUACCUACCAUUUAUAAAGUUUUCAAUAGCUGAUUCGAUGGAUUAGAGUAAGGAGUGGGUUGAGUUUUCUAUAUUUUCUCGUCUAUGAUGAUUGCAAUUAGACUGAUGAUACCUUUCACAUAAGAAAUAAAUGCACAGGCAUGGCGUUUACUUUUCUCUUUUGUCUUUGAUAAUUGCAAAUAGAAUUAAAUCGAAAUUUGGAAAAGCCUGAAGAGAAUUGUUGGCGGAAAACAGAGUAAAUAACACUCCCAGAAAGAAGUAUUUAGGUAUUCAGAAACUUAUUGAUCAUCCCUCACAAUUGGGUCGUUGAUAUAUCAUGCAACAAAUUUGAAGGGAAGAUUCCUGAAUUCAUUGGGAACUUCAAAGGACUUUGCUUUCUUAAUGUUUCCAACGACAUUCUCACUGGUACCACCCCAUUAUCCUUGUGAAAGUUGACAUUAAGCAUUACACCUUUCAAAUGACAGGCUUUCCGGAGAAAUUCCUCAGCAACUAAAGCAGCUUACAUCCCUCGCAUAUGUCAACGUCUCUGACAACAAUCUCACAGGUUCCAUACCGCAAGGGCGCCAAUUUAAUACGUUCGAGAGGACUUCAUUUGAGGGAACCUGGGAUUGUGUGGAGAACCAUUGCCAAAUAAAUGUGAAAAUGCCACUGCCACCCUUAAGCAUAGAUGGAGUUGAAUUUGAAUGGAAAUUUGCAUUAGUGGGAUUUAGAAGUGGGUUAAUGCUGGGAGUGGUACUUGCGAACAUCACCAUCACUCAAAAGCGUGAGCUGUUUCUUGAGAUGGUUGGAAUUUUGAUCAGGCUAAUCAAAAGGGAGAGGUCGGGAACUCGGGAUGCAGAAAUUGAUAAGGCUGCUAUGAGGUUAUGGAUUUGAGGUUCUUUCAUUUUUUUCUUUUCUUUUUGUGUUUGUUUUGUUUCGUUGUUGCUUUCUUUCUCCUUCAGCCUUUCUAUCUAUAUGGUUUGUUGAUCGUGUAUGAGCAACAACCAGAGUGAUUACAAAUAAAAGUUUCAGAAUGUCAUGUAUACGUAUGGUUUUGUUAAUGCAAAUGAGAGUCUGAAUGUUUCAUGAA